UGAGGAAAAAAUACAUACAUACAGUAGGAUUCACUAAACGUAAUGAAUCAAUGUCAUUAACAGUAGUGCAGCAGUGUAUUAGUAGUAAAAUUAACAAAAAGAGACUUCUGACAAGGCCUUCAUAACCCCAGACAGUGUCCACGCCCCAUAAAGAUGUACAAAGGUUUAUACUAUCUGUUGUGUUUAAUCUGUUGAUAUUUAAUCAAAUAUCAUGUGGCGCCGAAGAAAGUCUUCAGCGGGUUUCUUGGGUGGACUGAGGGUCAAUUUGUAAGCCUGUAUUCAGAUGAAGAACUAUAUGUUUUCAAUUGAAAAUUAAAUUGAAGGAUUUUAAGAUGCGGGUAAUACAUCUUUUGAAUCAAAUUUGCCAGUUGUUGAAUUUAGCCAUGUCUUAACAUCACAAUGACUUUCUCUGUUUGCAGGAGACCUCAGUGUUCCCUUUCUGUUGUUCUGGCAAACAGCGGAGCCUGUUCCUGUCUUUGGUUAUCUAGCUGUAUGAGUGUUAACCGUCCUUCAUAAAGCUAGAUAACCGAAAGUAGGAAUGACCUCCAAAUCUUCAGCUUCCUGCAUUAAUAAGAAGAAACAAGAAGAAGAAGAUUAAAAAACACAUAUACCAACACUGGAGGAUGUGGAGUCCUUUUUCCGAAAAGAACCUCAACAAUGCCGAUGCCACCUUACUGUGGACGAUCUACAGCAUCAGUGUGUCAAUCACAUGGAUUCCCUGGAAAAACAUGGGCUUUUGUGCAAUCAAGCAACGGCAUGAAAAAGUUCUCUCCUCCAUGAAUGAACUUCAAGUGUUCAUGACUGAAUACAGUUUGAACUUGCAUCAAGACAGUCAGUGUGAAAAAGAGUUUUGAUUCUUCCUUCCUUACACUUCUGUCUGAGUGUUAUUUGAGAAUCCUGUCAAAAUAAAAGGAUCUGGAUGGAUUUAUAUUGAUAUUUUAUUGAUUAUGUUAUUUGAAAUUAUCAGAGAGAGUGUAGUGAAAUGUUUUUGUUCUUAAUUGAAUAAAAGACUUGUCGUAGAAACAUGAUAC
rnacentral:lncRNA from 1 species